AGGGAAAGACGUAUGAUGGUGUUGUGAAGAAGAAAGAAGAGGCACAGCAGCAGUACAGUCGAGCAGUAUCUCGAGGAGAAAGUGCCGGGAUUGUCAGGUACCACAGAAACAGAAAUAAAACUGAUUACACAGCUGGAUUAUUGCAGCCAGUGCAGUAGGAAGGACGCUGGAGGAGUUUAAAACCUCAGUGACGGUGGCAGCUUUGAGUAAGGUGACCUUUGAACUCACCUAUGAAGAGCUGCUAAAGCGACGACUCGGCAAAUACAAGUUACAAAUCCACGCGCAACCAAUGCAGCCUGUGGCAGAUUUCAAGAUUGACGUCUAUAUUAAUGAGCAUCCAGGUCUUUCCUUCCUGGAGGUCAAAGGAGGGCUGAAGACUCAGGAGCUCUCCGGGGCUGUGAUCAGCACUCUGGCCGAGUCGACCAAAGAGUUUUUCCUGAUCUGGUGAAUAGAGUGGUUUUCUUUCUGAAGUCGAUGAUGCUCCGUUCCACAGCGGGUCCCAAGAUGAUUUGUAGUCGGUGUGUGUCGUCAGUUACCUUCACAAUUUCACUCAGGUGCCUUGAGCAGAGGAACCACACGGUGUCG